AUUGAACGCUGGCGGAAUGCUUUACACAUGCAAGUCGAACGGCAGCACGGGGCAACCUGGUGGCGAGUGGCGAACGGGUGAGUAAUAUAUCGGAACGUGCCCAAUCGUGGGGGAUAACGUAGCGAAAGUUACGCUAAUACCGCAUACGAUCUACGGAUGAAAGCGGGGGAUCGCAAGACCUCGCGCGAAUGGAGCGGCCGAUAUCAGAUUAGGUAGUUGGUGGGGUAAAGGCUCACCAAGCCAACGAUCUGUAGCUGGUCUGAGAGGACGACCAGCCACACUGGAACUGAGACACGGUCCAGACUCCUACGGGAGGCAGCAGUGGGGAAUUUUGGACAAUGGGCGCAAGCCUGAUCCAGCCAUUCCGCGUGCAGGAUGAAGGCCUUCGGUUGUAAACUGCUUUGUACGGACGAAACGGUCUGCCCUAAUACGGCGGGCUAAUGACGGUACCGUAAGAAUAAGCACCGGCUAACUACGUGCCAGCAGCCGCGGUAACUGU
rnacentral:rRNA from 1 species